CCUCUCCUCUCUCAGUUAAUCUCUCCCUUUUCCUCUUCUCUCCAACCAACCAAUGGGCUCGCUCCUCACUUCCGAUCACCUCCUCCGGCGGCCGCACAUCUCCGCUCGAGAUAUUUUCCUCCCCAAGGCCGGCGCUCUCCUCUAUCUCCCUGCCCGCCAUGUACCUCAAGGGUCCUUCGCGGUCGAGAUUUGGGGAUACCUGCUGGCCACACAUGUCUAGAUCUCGGUGAGAUCUGCGAGGAGGCCAUUUGGUGCCUGCCGUUUGGGAGCUCGGAAAUCGCAACGCCGGCGGAGAUAUGGAGGUGGGUCGUGCUCGACGUGCCCCUGCACAGCUCUGGCCGGACCCGACCAGGAAGGAAGGAGCCCUCUUGCUCCAGUCUUCUCGAUCAGAGAAAACAAGUAAAGAAAAUUGUUUGGGAAUGUAAGUUUGUAGUUCUACACAAGAUGAUUUGAGUAGGAAGUGAUAUAAAUCAUAGUUAUAUGCCUUCAGUGACGACAAUUGGGUUACUUCCAGCACUGGUUACAGAUCAGGCUCUCAGUUUGCUACAUCGUGUUCACAAUUUUAGAUCCCGAAUGAAGUCAUAUAAUCCGCUGAAACCUCUUGGUUAACUGAAUCAUGCAUUUCCUAUUUGUGGACGUCAAGACUUUGAUAUGCCGCUUUAAUGCCAAUGGAGGACCCAGAGACUCCCCCUCCUGACAACUACUUGGGAGUCUAAGAGAGUAGCAAUGCGAACAACCUCGGUGAAAAAUUUCUCACCUCGAGGGUCUCAACUGAAUGCUAUUGUGUGUGUCUCGCGGAUCUGGGAGAACAAGGAUCAAGCACAAAAUGGGUAUGCGUUGGGAUUCAUUUGUCAUUGACCAGCCGGUGCUUUCCGGCUUUCCGGACAUUCGAACACUUGAAUACUUGAUCCAGCUCACCUACAAAUGAAGUCCAUGCAGUUAGUUUGAUCCACUCAUUUAAUUACCUAUCAAUGUUACUCCUUUUAGUGUCUUCAUCGUAAUCUGCUAACUGAAUAUUCAGAAUCUUGAUUCGGCUAUUAUCACCUGCACCCAACCAGCUUUACUCUUCAGUGUUCACGGGGAAGCAUAAAUCUUAAACUUGCCAGGUGGCUCUCUAGCUUACCUGUAAUUGCAGACUGCGCGUUUCAUCGUACCAAGCAAGGCGGCAUAUUUUCAUUGCAGACUGUAGUUGCAGGACGAGGCCAGAACAAUUGCAUCAUUUCUUCCUAACUGAACAUUUACUUUCUUGGUUGAACCAUUAUCACCUGUGCAUAAAAUGCAUGCGAUCAGCUCAACCUAUAUGCUCCAUUUUUUUGUUUUUUUAGCAACACGAUGCAGCCAGCAGUAAGUUGUAGCUUAUAGUGAUGCUAAUUAUUAUAAGAGCUAUUAGUUGUUUACCACAUUUAUCCUAGGCUGAAUGAUGCCACAUGGUCUACAUGAAACAAGAAUCCUACAGAUCAAGAUUAGAUUGAUCUUACUUGGCCAUGACUUGAUGAAUGUUUGGGGGCGAGGGGAGUUGCUAGAGCUCUACCUAAACUAUGUGCAAUUUCUGCAUCCUAAACAAAUGAGGUGCUCACUGAUUAUAGUUUGAGAAAAUUAGUUAAAUGUUGUGCCCAACGAGCCUAGCUUAUUCAAUUACAACCAGUCCAUCAGGAUUAGUAUCAUGACAUGUUUUUUGGCUGCUACUCUUAUGUGGGUCAGUACCUACAAGAUAUUGAAAAAAUGUCUAAAGAUUUCAAGGUUAACUGAAAGACUCGCUACUGCUUCUUACAUUGCUAUUUGACUAAGAUGAUAACCAUCAGCCCAAGAGUUAUAUAUUCUAGAAUGUACCUGUACAGGGCGAAAUCAGAUAUCUUCGGUAUCGUAUUACUGCCAAGACAAGAGAGUAAGAUAUUCUGCAACAUUCAACGCUUCGAUCAGUUGAAAACAUUAUGGUUAGUUUCCAAACAUCACACACAAAUACAUUAAGAAGUGAUUUCAGUCCCUGGACCUCAUGUUUCAAGUCCCGGUGGAUGACAGGGUGCACUCAUUUGCUUUCACAUUUCUUCAACAAGUUGGUACAAGACUAGGCUUUUGUUUUUUGUUCAUUUGGCACAACCACAUACUGAUGUUUGAUUCUUGGCAGGGCUAAUAUAUGUAGCGUUCAUGCUGUGGUGGUAGGUAAGAUGAUCAUGGACCCAUUUAAGAUUUCUCAGUGAGCGAUCACUUCUCCACUUCUUCUUCAUCCCCCCCUUUGAUAUGUGAUGAGAUCUCAAUUGCUGACCUGGCCUGUGUGCCAUGGGGUUGAUCUGUUAGUCUUUCGCGUAUUGUGGAUUUCAAUGGCAACAUCUCUAUACAUAUGUUCAUGAAUUCUUAGGUUCCAAUAAAAAUGCUUUGAGUAUGAUA